rnacentral:misc_RNA from 1 species
GAUGAAGAACGUAGCGAAAUGCGAUAAGUAGUGUGAAUUGCAGAAUUCAGUGAAUCAUCGAAUCUUUGAACGCACAUUGCGCCCCAUGGUAUUCCGUGGGGCAUGCCUGUUCGAGCGUCAUUUACCCCCUCAAGCUCCGCUUGGUGUUGGGCGUCUGUCCCGCUUCGCGCGCGGACUCGCCCCAAAGGUAUUGGCAGCGGUCGUGCCAGCUUCUCGCGCAGCACAUUGCGCUUCUCGAGGCACCGGUGGGCCCGCGUACAUCAAGCUCACCCCCCCAGUUUGACCUCGGAUCAGGUAGGGAUACCCGCUGAACUUAAGCAUAUCAAUAAGCGGAGGA